AAUAAUAAGUACGCCUCCCCUCAAAUUCACGAUUGAAUCGAAAGUCAAACAAAAUGGCAGCAUUUAAAAUUAUUCAAACUUUAUUCAUUAUUGCGAUCUUAAACAUCGUUAUAAGUACAUGUGAUGUAACAUAUAUGAAGGACGAAGUAUACAGUUUUUCGGGUGAUAAGCAGUUCGAAUUUGGUUCUGGUAAUGACAAAUUUGAUGUUUCAUCGGGUGACAGAGCGGAUGAGUUCGAUGUCUUUUCGGGUGACAAACAGGAUUAUGAAGAGUCUUCAGU